ACAGUUGUCAGUCCCUGCUGGAAAUGCCCGCCAGUGGCCAGAAGUGGGUCAUGAGUGUAAUGAGCCAGUCAGCCUGACAUCUGCACUCUUUAGUCCAGCCUCAGGUUUCCACCUGGAUCUAGCAACUUGCGAGCUUCAGAGCAGAGAGUAAUGGGAAGACAGCCUGGAUUCUGAAAAGCCCAGAUUCUGCAAUUGAAGAGAAUCAUACAUACCUGACUGGCAUGGGGCUAGAGAUUUUUCCACCAAAACCCACUGUGAUCAUGUUUAUUUCAUUUCAUCCAGUAGACUGGACUCUCUUCAUAUGCACUUUUUUCAUCUCCAGCUUCAGGCAGAUUAACUCAGCAAACUUGGAAGCCAGAUGAUGAAAACUGAAAAACUGUAAGAUGGAAGGGAUAUGGAACUCCAGUUCACUGCUUGAAGAAGGGCAGUCAGAGUUAACAGUUUUAGACUUUAUAAGGAGAAAUAAAUUUAUGUCAUGUGAACAAUUA